GUGAGGGCCUAGAGAAAGAUAGAUAGAAGAAACCUCAACACCACAAAGCGGACACUGGACUACAGCUCAGACUAAGGACAGAGGACUGCCAGUUUAAAAUGCAAGAGCCGGACGAAUCACUAAUCCAUGCUGCAAAUAAUGGAGCUGAAGUGCCCAAUUCAGGUCACAAUGGACUUUUAAAAAAGCCACUAGGAGAGAGAGGGAGGGAGAGCGAGAGAGAGACAUCAUCAUCGACUGGAAGAGAGGAGACAACUUUUUGCUAUCCACCGUUCCAAUACUCACUAGCAUCAAGGCUGAAGAAGACAACAGACUAUAAAAGCUAAAGCAGCCACCUGUUACAAAGCUUGCUGUGUAACCCUGAUUUGAAUCGUUCAGUUUCUUUGUGGUGGCGGCCUGCGCCACCACCACCUACUC